rnacentral:lncRNA from 1 species
GCAACAGAACAGAGGAAACAGACUAACCUGCCCUUACAGAACAAGCUGUGUAGGAAAUUGUCAAUAGCUCCAUAUCAGGGAGCAGCAAGAGCAGGCUGCCCAGCAACGACAGGGAAGUCAGAAGCUGAGCAUAAUAACAAGGCUGGCAGAGGUCUCACUGCCAGAGGUCUCACAGCACCAAAACAAGGUAAGCAGAGAAGCUCUAGUAAGGGUAACCAGGGUAACAAGGUUCAACUAAGGAUCCUAGUCUCUAAUCAAGUUCUUGAUGAUGAAGCAGUUCCAAGGUCAGUCUGGGGAGGUGAUCAGGUCCAAACGCAUUGUCCUGGAUCAGACACAGGUCAAUGCCUCCAUGGUCAAGCCAGGAAGUCAGACCAUGGGUCAGAGUUAAGGUUUGGCUUAAUGGGGUAGCUCUCUAGGCAUAGACAUAGGCAUGACUUCUGCCCGGCUCCAGGGUAACCUAGGCAGGAACCAACAGUGAGAAACUCAGCAGAGAGCCUUGCUGAAACUCGUUAGAAGUCUUUUGGGGAGUCCUUUGACAGAGACUCCUUCCAUCUGUUUCCUCAUACUGUGUAACCAGCAAGCUUGCCUUGACUACAGAAAGAUGAAUUCAAAGGGAAGGCAUGCAGUUAGGAUGCUAAUAGUUUGAUUUUUAUGAGACACUGCAAUUCAUCUUGAAAUGAAUAUGCACUUUUCUACUUAUUUUUUAAUAAAUCCCAUGUUUUAAGAUAGCA